CAUUUAGUUUGAAAUUAUUUUUUAACACUGACGGUCGAGCUCUCGCGGAGCAGCCACAACGCAGCGAAACAAGUGCAAACUUUAACUCGAGCGGGUACGCGACGGUUUCUUUUUUCAGUUUUCCAAAAACGCAUCAAUUUGUGCGCACAAACGAAUCAACAGGAUUGGCGGAAGCACGUGUAUUUUUGUUACGAGUCCAAAAAUUGAACCUCUGUGUGAUUUCUUGAAAUUUCCGUGGUAGCUCGUACCAGCCGAGGCCGGUUAGUGGCUUCUCCACAAUUUUCCUGAUACAAAAACCCGCGAAACAUCUGCCAAAAUUUCUCCCUAAACGAAGAAACGAUCCUGACCCCACCUUUCCUCCUCUAAGCUCACCAGCUCCGGUGCAGGUACACUAGGGUAACGUGCGUUUCAGCACACGCACACAUACACACACAGCAGCAACCAUGGGCAGAAUAUCGCGAUGUUUUGUCGCGACUUUCCUGCUUUUUUUCGCAGUAUUAAAGAAUGUCGACUGUGAUGCCCCUCUCGUAGAUUCAGCCGCCCUGCCACUGGAGCAUAGAGCCGUCUAUGGACCGCCAGCACCAUCACCAGUAUACGGUACGCCUGGUUUGUUGAGUGGCGGCGGCGGCGGUGGUGGUAGCAGCAGUAGCAGCAGCGGUGGCAGCGACGACCCCUGGCCCCUGUCGGCUCAAAACGAUAGUCCCCAGAUCAAGCACCUGCAGGUGCAGUGCGAAAAGACGCACAUGCGCGUCAACAUCGAAUUCGAUCGACCCUUCUACGGAAUGAUUUUCUCGAAGGGAUUCUACAGCGACCCGCACUGCGUGCAUCUGAAGCCGGGUACUGGUCAUCUGAGUGCGACGUUCGAAAUCUUCCUGAACAGCUGCGGUAUGAGCAGCUCGGCUAAUCACAAUGCGGCCAGUUUCGGCUCGCCAACCCCAUCCGGUAGCUAUGUGGAGAACACGAUUAUCAUCCAGUACGAUCCGUACGUCCAGGAAGUGUGGGAUCAGGCUCGCAAGCUGCGUUGUACGUGGUAUGACUUCUACGAGAAGGCCGUCACAUUCCGUCCGUUCCAGGUGGACAUGCUGCAUGCCGUGACUGCCAACUUCCUCGGAGACAACCUGCAAUGCUGGAUGCAGAUCCAGGUCGGUAAAGGUCCCUGGGCAUCUGAGGUUUCCGGAAUUGUAAAGAUCGGUCAAACCAUGACCAUGGUGCUGGCAAUCAAGGACGACGAGAACAAGUUCGAUAUGUUGGUCCGAAACUGUGUUGCUCAUGAUGGCAAGCGUGCCCCUAUCCAAUUGGUCGACCAGCAUGGCUGUGUUGUACGUCCCAAGAUUAUGAGCAAAUUCCAAAAGAUCAAAAACUUCGGACCAUCAGCAUCGGUUGUGUCGUUCGCAUACUUCCAAGCGUUCAAAUUCCCAGACUCGAUGAAUGUGCACUUCCAGUGUGUAAUUCAAGUUUGCCGCUACAACUGUCCGGAGCCAAAAUGCGGAGGUGGUGAUUACGGACUACCGGCGCUAACAGGUAACGGAAUUUCUGGCGAGUAUGGAGCUCCAGGUGCACUGAGUGGAGAAUAUGGCCCACCAUCGCUGCAAGAAUACGGCGUUCCUCCGGCGUACCCAGAUCCAAGACACCCAUCAGACGCCACGGGUGCGUACUCGGAGAAUCAAGAUAAUAUUGUGCCACCACCACAAGCGCAAACUUCCGGAGGCUCCAACGAGAACAAAGAAGGCCAAAGUCAAUCGGAUGCAUCGCAGUCCAACCAGAACCAAAACCAGCUACAAAACGAAAUCCACGACAACAUCAAUCUGCCACCACCGCCGCCACCAGGUCAAUCCGGAUAUGUGACAGUGACGAAGAGGAAAGACGAUAUGGUCAACGAUGGUAACCUUGUUAGUUUGGGCGGCCGUCCACGAUCGGUGGAAGGCUUAGAUGACCUCCGGGGCGCCCGACGACGACGCGAUACAAUGACGGUUGUCCUGAAGCCACGAAUCUACAAACGGGAUGCUCAGGAGAUGACCGAUGUCAACACGGAACGGGUCAUUCAAGUGGUCGCCCCAGGGGAUGUCAACUUCGCUCUAAAUAGCGCCGCCAACAACGAAACGGUUGUGAUCCAGUCCCAACGCACCGUCGAUCCGGAGACGAUCUGUAUGUCCGUGCCCAGCUUCGUCGGUGGUCUGGUGAUGCUGCUGCUGGUACUAGCGGUGGCCUCCCUUGUAGCCGCCUUCCUCUUCGUCCGAGUGAGACACUUCGAUCGCAAAGGUACGGCCCCGACCUUCGUGUCCCAGUUUCUCAAGGUGAACUAAUGUGCAACCAAAUCACCCAUCCGGUUCCGUUUUUUUGGUUUUUUUUUUCUCUUUUUUUUUUGUAGCUAACCACAUGCCCCUGUCCAGGUAAAACUCACACAUGUUCCUGGUGGCACAGUAAAACGCUUCUGCCCUCCUUCUACUAAAGCAACGCCGCCAUUUACAGCACGACGUUAAUGCAUGUGGAACUUCGCUAUUGGUUUUUUUUUGUUAUUUUUUUCCUCGGUACAAGUACACAUAUCCUCUGCCGUGUAAGUAUGGAUCUUGCCACGGUAAACUAACGAAUUCCUCCCGCUUGGUGGAGUUCAACGGAGCUUAUUAACACUGUGAGGACAAAUUUUAACGCGAAGCACAAUUAAAUGGAACAUAACACCAAAGGUCCGAAUCAUUGUCCCCUCAGAUCGCAUCUGGUUUUAAAAUAAUUUUACGAGCUCUCAUUUUUACCUUCCUGUAGAUAUCGCAAACGAUUUAAAUCAGAUAGCUUACCAACUACAAAAAAGAGGAGUUUAUAUCUGUCCUAUACAACGUCUUCUUUCAUUUAGAAUUCGCUCCUAGGAAACUUAAAUCACUGUAGCUUUAUAACACUAAUCAUUUUCAUCUCAUUCUAACCUAUUUAAAUUUACACGCAAUUCAUUCAAAAUUUUGCGCUCUCAUUUCCUCUCAAACAAAGAUGCAUCCCGAGACAUGGAGUUUACUCUUGAUAUUAACAACCAAGAGGGACUUUAGUAAAAAACCAACGUCUCCAGAUGCACAAUUGUUACCAAACAGCGGUGUUAUCGACAAACCCUACUUCGAAUAUACCUCUGCAAUGGAAUAGAUCAUUCCGCAUCCUAUCUGCACCGUAGACAGAAGAGAGAUAAAGCGAAACAAACUGUAGAAAUAGAAACAAAUUGUCAAUGAUUUUCAAAUUCUUCGUUAUGCUGUUUAGUUCAGCGUAGCCCAUUUACUAGAUCCGACCGACAGCAUCCCUCUGUUGUCCGUCCGGAUCUAUUAAGAGUAUCUUUGAAUCUAAAGAAAAAACUUAUUUAUUUGCCCAUAAGAUAAUUAUUCCUUUUCCGAUCGGUGUUUGUUUUCAACACAUCCCAUCUAUCGCGCUAAAGCAAAACGAUAACCACGCACCUACACUAACUAGUUCGAAGCUUCAACCCAGUAACAGUCGAAGCUCGGUAAAUACUAAUCACUACGAGGAAACCUACCAAUUAUAGUUAUUAGUCUAACCGUCCUCCAGUAGAAUCUGUCAGUUUGUUUUUCCUAAAGGUAUUACUUCUAGAAACGAUGGCGUCAACUAGUCUAGUCGCCAGAUUUUCCCUCCACUAAAACAAGAAACCAGUUUCUGCAAUUGUUUAGCAACACUGCCAGGUGCCUCGAUUUAACAAAAACCAAUAAGUAUUUUACACGCGUUUGAUUCAACGCACACACACACCCAUCACGCGCGCACACCUUUCCACAUCUACUUCCGAAGUAUAAACAGUAUUUAAAAUCAGUUAAUUCGAAAAUAAUAAUAACAAUAGUGCAGGCAUUUCGAUUACACAUACAAAAGUGCACCCGGGAGGACAAAACAAAAUGGGUAACAACGAAAUAUAUCAAACGCAAUCUGUCACAACGAAACUGGCGCACGGGAAAAAGGAAGAGGAAGUUUUUUCCUUCCACGCUACAAUUUAGGAUCACGACUUGACGAGGAAGUAAUAGGCAAAAUGCGCGGGGAAAAUCGAAUCAAUAAUAACGCCUAACGUGUUAGGGAAAUUAAAGUAAAGCUUAGGUUUAGCGAUGAAACGAGUAAAAAGGCGAUAGAAAAAAGACGAAAACAUGUGAACCCACACACAUACACGUACACACACAAAGUUAAUGAAAAAAAAUGGUAUGUUAAUUAAUGCGACAACGAGACAACUAGUAACAAGGAAGAAGAGAUAUCUUUGUAAAUAUUUAUUUAAAACGAUAGUUAACGAAUAAAGUAAAUUGAAGUGUA